rnacentral:pre_miRNA from 1 species
AGAGCCUCUCCGGGAAUCCAAUGCGCCUUCCUCUUGAACGCCUUUCAACGCGCAGACUGUGCGUGAAAACGCUUUUAGGAGGAAGGUGUAUUGAUUUCCGGGGAAGCCCU